rnacentral:rRNA from 1 species
GACGAACGCUGGCGGCGUGCUUAACACAUGCAAGUCGAACGGAAAGGCCCCUUUGGGGGUACUCGAGUGGCGAACGGGUGAGUAACACGUGAGUAACCUGCCCUUGCCUUCGGGAUAACUUCAGGCAACUGGGGCUAAUACCGGAUAGGAAUCAUUGCCGCAUGGUGGGGGUUGGAAAGCUUCGGGGGUUUUGGAUGGACGCGCGGCUUAUCAGCUUGUUGGUGGGGUAGUGGCUUACCAAGGCUUUGACGGGUAGCCGGCCUGGGUGGGCGACCGGCCACAUUGGGACUGGGAUACGGCCCAGACUCCUACGGGAGGCAGCAGUGGGGAAUAUUGCACAAUGGGCGGAAGCCUGAUGCAGCAACGCCGCGUGCGGGAUGACGGCCUUCGGGUUGUAAACCGCUUUCAGCAGGGGCGAAGCUUGUGGUGACGGUACCUGCAGAAGAAGCACCGGCUAACUACGUG